rnacentral:rRNA from 1 species
AGAGUUUGAUCCUGGCUCAGAUUGAACGCUGGCGGCAGGCCUAACACAUGCAAGUCGAGCGGCAGCGGGAAAGUAGCUUGCUACUUUUGCCGGCGAGCGGCGGACGGGUGAGUAAUGCCUGGGGAUCUGCCCAGUCGAGGGGGAUAACAGUUGGAAACGACUGCUAAUACCGCAUACGCCCUACGGGGGAAAGGAGGGGACCUUCGGGCCUUUCGCGAUUGGAUGAACCCAGGUGGGAUUAGCUAGUUGGUGGGGUAAUGGCUCACCAAGGCGACGAUCCCUAGCUGGUCUGAGAGGAUGAUCAGCCACACUGGAACUGAGACACGGUCCAGACUCCUACGGGAGGCAGCAGUGGGGAAUAUUGCACAAUGGGGGAAACCCUGAUGCAGCCAUGCCGCGUGUGUGAAGAAGGCCUUCGGGUUGUAAAGCACUUUCAGCGAGGAGGAAAGGUUGGCAGCUAAUAUCUGUCAGCUGUGACGUUACUCGCAGAAGAAGCACCG